GAUGAACGCUGGCGGCGUGCCUAAUACAUGCAAGUCGAGCGAACGGACGAGAAGCUUGCUUCUCUGAUGUUAGCGGCGGACGGGUGAGUAACACGUGGAUAACCUACCUAUAAGACUGGGAUAACUUCGGGAAACCGGAGCUAAUACCGGAUGAUAUUUUGAACCGCAUGGUUCAAAAGUGAAAGACGGUCUUGCUGUCACUUAUAGAUGGAUCCGCGCUGCAUUAGCUAGUUGGUAAGGUAACGGCUUACCAAGGCAACGAUGCAUAGCCGACCUGAGAGGAUGAUCGGCCACACUGGAACUGAGACACGGUCCAGACUCCUACGGGAGGCAGCAGUAGGGAAGCUUCCGCAAUGGGCGAAAGCCUGACGGAGCAACGCCGCGUGAGUGAUGAAGGUCUUCGGAUCGUAAAACUCUGUUAUUAGGGAAGAACAUAUGUGUAAGUAACUGUGCACAUCUUGACGGUACCUAAUCAGAAAGCCACGGCUAACUACGUG
rnacentral:rRNA from 1 species